rnacentral:rRNA from 1 species
GGGGAAUUUUCCGCAAUGGGCGAAAGCCUGACGGAGCAAUACCGCGUGAGGGAGGAAGGCUCUUGGGUUGUAAACCUCUUUUCUCAGGGAAUAAGAACUGAAGGUACCUGAGGAAUCAGCAUCGGCUAACUCCGUGCCAGCAGCCGCGGUAAUACGGAGGAUGCAAGCGUUAUCCGGAAUGAUUGGGCGUAAAGCGUCCGCAGGUGGUUUAUCAAGUCUGCUGUCAAAGAGUUUGGCUCAACCAAAUAAAGGCAGUGGAAACUGACAGACUGGAGUGCGGUAAGGGCAGAGGGAAUUCCUGGUGUAGCGGUGAAAUGCGUAGGGAUCAGGAAGAACACCGGUGGCGAAAGCGCUCUGCUGGGCCGUAACUGACACUGAGGGACGAAAGCUAGGGGAGCGAAUGGGAUUAGAUACCCCAGUAGUC